CCAGAGUCCUGAAAGAGGUGGCUGAGGUGGUCACCAAUCCACUCUCAAUGAUAUUUGAAUAUCAUGAUAGUCAGGGUAAGUCCCUGGUGACUGGAAAAAAGACAAUGUCACACCCAUUUUUAAGAAGAGUAGAAAGGAUGAUAUAGCGAACUAUAGACUUGUCAGCCUCACCUUUGUACUAGGGAAGAUUAUGUAGUAGAUCCUCCUGGAAGCUAUGCUAAGGCACAUGAAAGAAAGGGAGGUGAUACGGGAUAACCAUAUUGGCUUCACCAACAACAGAUCCUCCCUGACCAACCUUUUCAUUUUUUAUGAUGGUGUAACUUCAUGAGUGAACAAGGGAAAAGCCACUGAUGUCAUCUAUCAGUAAGGCCUUUGAUAUGAUUCCCCACAUCCUUCCCUCCAAUUUGGAAAUAUAUGGAUUUGAAGUGUGGACUGUUUGAUGGAUGAGGAACUGGUGGCAGGAUUGUACCCAGAGACUGAUGGUCAGUGGCUCAGUGUCCAGAUGGAGAUCAAUGAUAUGUUGUGUCCCUCAGACAUCAGUACUGGGACUGAUGUUCUUUAAUACUUUCAUCAGUGACAUUGACAGUGGACAGUCUCAGCAAGUUCGUAGGUGACACCGAGCUGUGUGCUGUGGUUGACCCACCCAAGGAAUGGGAUGCAAUUCAGAGAGGCCUAGGCAGGCUUCAGGAGUGGACCCAGGAGAACCUCCUGAGAUUCAAUAAAGCCUGUCCUUGGAUACAUUCAAAGUGCGGCUGGACAGGGCUCUGAGCAAGCUGAUAUAGGUGGUCCUGUUCACCGAAGAGAAGUUUGAGUACGUAACCUUUAAGGGUCUCUUCCAACUCAAACAAUUCUAUGAUUCUACAUUCUUUUAUCAUGUUUGGGAAAAAAAGUGUUUAAUGCCCUAGUUUUGAUGACUGUGGAACAGCAGGAGGAUUAAUGUGUCUUCCAUAGCCUUCCCAAUAUAGCUGUGUCUAGUCCCCAAACUGUGGCAGUGGCACAGAGCUACUUUUGUGUCACCACCAUCUCAUCAUCUCAGGUUAUUUUUCAGACCAUCUCAUGCCCUGCUCUAUCAGAUUUGUUAAGGAAAAAAAAAAAAAAAAAAAAGGCUUUAGCCCAAGAAAUGGGGGCUUAUCAUUAUAGCAGUGUUUGUGUGGAAGAUAAUGACAUUGUCUUGGCUCCAGUGCAUAGUUUCAGGGAAAUACAUUCAAAUCAGAAUUCAGCUGAUUUAGGAUCAGAGAGAAGUCAUUUAACUUGCUUCCACCUGAUGAAGAUUAAGGAAAAUGCAGAGCUGCACGUCUUGUGAAUCUCUUGAUGCUGACUCUUUUGAUUUGUCAGUAGUCCUCUCUGUAGCAGCAGAGCUGGCUGAGCUCAGUAGUCACACAGCAAAAGUUUUUCCUUGCAACCACAGAGAUCUGAUGCUUUCCUGAUCUAUGUAAAUCACUCUCUUACAGCAAAGUGCUCCACAGAUGCCUGAAAUAAAAACAGCAGCACAGUGUUUUUAUGAGUUAAUAGGUGAGUGGAUAAUAAGUACCAGAAGGAUUAUGGUGGAACACUAACCUUAAGUCAUUUUCUUGUGACCUCACGAAGGGGCAUUAUGUAUGUUUUUCUCCAUGUUUUUCUCCACCUAUGGCAAAUUGGAACAAACAUUUUCUGAGGCAUCAAGCCUUAUCUGCCCUUUCGUACUUCUGUCUUUAUUUGGCAGCUGGGGAUCUGAGAGUGAACUGAUGGUGCACUUUGUCCUGAAUGCUGCUAUUACUUCCAUCUUCAUUAUCUAAAUGCAGAGCAUCACAAGGAACAGUGGGUCACAGUGCCCACAGGUUUGAUAGAGCAACCUAAGUUAUCUACCUUCAAAUGCCUGCCUUGCAGAGAAGUGAAAUACUACUAAAUGGAAUGGCCAUUAUUUUUAUUUGAAUUGUCUGAAACAUUUUAUGAUUUUGCUGUUGUUGUUAAACUUAGGAUUCCAAAUCUUCAGAAGACUGAAGGGACAACAACUAGGAAGAACUGGGCAUCACUACUGGUUUGGAUAAGAUAAACAAUUAUGUGUCAUAUUGAGCCUUUCCAUUUACUAUUUUUUUAGCAUAAGUGACCUCUUAUAAUGUCUUCGCAUAUAAUAAACCUGCCUUUUUUUCUUCCCCUGUGAAUCUCCAUUAAGAAGGUGCAAUCCACAUACUAUCUUAGUGCCUGCUAUAAUAGUCACUAGAGCCUAUGGAAGUAUAUCUGUGCAUUUCACUAAACUGUGGUUUGAAAGAAUCCUGUCUGAAGAACACAUUUUAUGGCUCUACAACACAAAUAUCCUUUGGUUUUAAUGGAAGCUUUACUGGCCUGAAGUAAGGUGUUCUAUUAGUCUGUAGCCUAAUGCAUUUUGUUAAUGAGAAUAGAAUUUAACCUUUCUGUUAAAUCUAAAACAUAUCUCUGUCUUGAACUAUGUUAGGUAGAACUUGACAGGAAAAAAAUAAAUGUGAAUCAACAACAAAGCCCGUAUUCUUUGCAUGAAAAUGCUAUUGAUUUCCAUUCAGACUAAUCAGCUCUUUGGGGUAGGUAGGGUCAACCAUUUCAUAGCAUUUUGUUAAAACCUUUCUUUAAGGAUCAGACACAGUUUGGAAAGCAGAGAACUAAAACCCAAUGGCCCAGUUCUUCAAAUAUGAGUAUAAGCUAAACUAGUUCCAGCAAAUCAAGAUGGCUGCUUCCUGCAGUGCUGUUACUAAGGAGGAUGGGCAUGUUCAGGGCUGGCCUUGGCAUUUAGUUUGUUCUUGUAAUCCCAAGUAUGAAAAAUUAUUGAGUGUGUCUUUUUGAUUUUAUUAUGGAAAUGAGGUUGGACAGUCUUCAUCUGGCACAAAAAGAGUGGCAGGAUUCCUUGUUUCUCCUGAUCUCUGCUCAUAUAUGAAAACAGGGACACAAGGAGGUGAAAUGACAUAACUGCUCCACACUCGGAGUUCAGCAAGGAAAGUGACAGUAGGCAUCAGCCCUCCCAGCUCAUGAUACCAUGCUGAAACUUACAAAACUCUACUUCUUCAAAAGCUUGCCCUUUUGAUGAUACUGCAAAUAAUAACACAAUUGUACAGUGAUGAAUGGCAGUCCCGUGCCCUUACUGACAAGUUAGUGAAUGGACAGUACUGAAAAUAAUUUGUAAGAUGAUGAUGUUUAUGGUGAUGAUAACAUAAUAAAUCGAUAGCUG
ensembl:lncRNA